rnacentral:misc_RNA from 1 species
UCUUGGGCUGUGUGAGUUGCAGUA